GCCCGGAUGGCGGAAUUGGUAGACGCACUGGUCUCAAACACCAGCGGGAAACCGUGCCGGUUCGACUCCGGCUCCGGGUA
rnacentral:tRNA from 1 species